rnacentral:rRNA from 1 species
CGGUCACUUCGGUGAUAGUGGCGGACGGGUGAGUAACGCGUGAGAAUCUGGCUUCAGGUCUGGGACAACAGUUGGAAACGACUGCUAAUACCGGAUGUGCCGAAAGGUGAAAGGCUUGCUGCCUGAAGAUGAGCUCGCGUCUGAUUAGCUAGUAGGUGUGGUAAGAGCGCACCUAGGCGACGAUCAGUAGCUGGUCUGAGAGGAUGAUCAGCCACACUGGGACUGAGACACGGCCCAGACUCCUACGGGAGGCAGCAGUGGGGAAUUUUCCGCAAUGGGCGAAAGCCUGACGGAGCAAUACCGCGUGAGGGAGGAAGGCUCUUGGGUUGUAAACCUCUUUUCUCAAGGAAUAAGUACUGAAGGUACUUGAGGAAUCAGCAUCGGCUAACUCCGUGCCAGCAGCCGCGGUAAUACGGAGGAUGCAAGCGUUAUCCGGAAUGAUUGGGCGUAAAGCGUCCGCAGGUGGCUGUGUAAGUCUGCUGUUAAAGAGUGAGGCUCAACCUCAUAAAAGCAGUGGAAACUACACAGCUAGAGUGCGUUCGGGGCAGAGGGAAUUCCUGGUGUAGCGGUGAAAUGCGUAGAGAUCAGGAAGAACACCGGUGGCGAAGGCGCUCUGCUAGGCCGCAACUGACACUGAGGGACGAAAGCUAGGGGAGCGAAUGGGAUUAGAUACCCCAGUAGUCCUAGCCGUAAACGAUGGAUACUAGGCGUUGCGAGUAUCGACCCUCGCAGUGCCGGAGCCAACGCGUUAAGUAUCCCGCCUGGGGAGUACGCAC